rnacentral:misc_RNA from 1 species
UAAUAAGUGUCUUAUGGCACUCUUUAAAUCCAUAUCCACCUUGUGUGCAAUGUCAGUCGAUCUUCUUCAUGGAGAUCGACCAAACAUCAACCUUUAUCUUUUAACUCUUUGUCUGAAAAAUAUUACGAAUAAACAAUUCAAAAUA